CUCAAAUCAGGUAGGACUACCCGCUGAACUUAAGCAU
rnacentral:rRNA from 2 species